GUGAGUGUAGCUCAAAUGGUAAGAGCAUCAGGCUGUGGCCCUGAGGGUUGGGGGUUCGAGUCCCCUCACUCACCCA
rnacentral:tRNA from 1 species